rnacentral:tRNA from 1 species
AUUUAUAUAAUAUAAAAAUUAUAUUUAACUUCCAAUUAAAAAAUCUAGCGUAUAGUAUAAAUA